rnacentral:rRNA from 1 species
GAUGAACGCUGGCGGCGUGCCUAACACAUGCAAGUCGAGCGAUCUCUUCGGAGAGAGCGGCGGACGGGUGAGUAACGCGUGGGUAACCUGCCCUGUACACACGGAUAACAUACCGAAAGGUAUGCUAAUACGGGAUAAUAUAUAAAAGUCGCAUGGCUUUUAUAUCAAAGCUUUUGCGGUACAGGAUGGACCCGCGUCUGAUUAGCUAGUUGGUAAGGUAACGGCUUACCAAGGCGACGAUCAGUAGCCGACCUGAGAGGGUGAUCGGCCACACUGGAACUGAGACACGGUCCAGACUCCUACGGGAGGCAGCAGUGGGGAAUAUUGCACAAUGGGCGAAAGCCUGAUGGAGCAACGCCGCGUGAGCGAUGAAGGCCUUCGGGUCGUAAAGCUCUGUCCUCAAGGAAGAUAAUGACGGUACUUGAGGAGGAAGCCCCGGCUAACUACGUGCCAGCCGCCGCGGUAA